GACGAACGCUGGCGGCGUGCUUAACACAUGCAAGUCGAACGGAAAGGCCCUGCUUUUGUGGGGUGCUCGAGUGGCGAACGGGUGAGUAACACGUGAGUAAACUGCCCUUGACUUUGGGAUAACUUCAGGAAACUGGGGCUAAUACCGGAUAUGAGCUCCUGCUCCAUGGUGGGGGUUGGAAAGUUUCGGCGGUUGGGGAUGGACUGGCGGCUUAUCAGCUUGUUGGUGGGGUAGUGGUUUACCAAGGCUUUGACGGGUAGCCGGCCUGAGAGGGUGACCGGCAACAUUGGGACUGCGAUACGGACCAGACUCCUAUGGGAGGCAGCAGUGGGGAAUAUUGCACAGUGGGACGAAGCCUGAUGCAGCAACGCCGCGUGCGGGAUGACGGCUUUCGGGUUGUAAACCGCUUUCGCCUGUGACGAAGCGUGAGUGACGGUAAUGGGUAAAGAAGCACCGGCUAACUACGUG
rnacentral:rRNA from 1 species